AUAGAUAGAGGUGCGAAACGAAAGAGUAGCUGCAACAAAAGACGGCAAGCGGUUGCAGCAAAAGGUCGAAUCGCCGAAACCCGCUUUUCGGUUGCCGCCGACGGUGUGGUUGGGUCGCUGCAAAAAAUGCUGCGAACUGUCACGCAAGUGGAGGGCUAUC
rnacentral:ncRNA from 1 species